GGUCACGUAGCCAAGGUGGUUAAGGCAGAGGUCUGCAAAACCUUUAUCGUGGGUUCGAGUCCCACCGUGACCUCCA
rnacentral:tRNA from 1 species